GCCAGCAUGGCGUAGUGGUUUGAGUGCUGGACUGUGACUCUGGAGACUAGGGUUCGAAACCCCCAUUCAGCCA